rnacentral:snRNA from 1 species
GGAUGUGAGGGCGAUCUGGCUGGGACAUCUGUCACCCCAUUGAUCGCCAGGGUUGAUUCCGCUGAUCUGGCUGGCUAGGCGGGUGUCCCUUUUCUCCCUCCCCGUUUCAUGUGCGUCCCUCCCAAAGCUGCGCACUAGGUGGAAGAGGAUGACCAUCCCCUCUAGAGGAGGACCGUUCUUCGGUCAAGAGUAUACAAUUAGCUGCGUUCCCCUGCUAGAACUUCCAAACAAGCUCUGGAGAGGUGUUUUGGAGUCAUGGGGACAGAUUCCAAUGACUUGGUCUUCAUGGUAAUGAGUGAGUUAUCUCUCUAAUUA